CCUACGGGAGGCAGCAGUGAGGAAUAUUGGUCAAUGGGCGCAAGGCUGAACCAGCCAAGUCGCGUGAGGGAAGACGGUCCUAUGGAUUGUAAACCUCUUUUGUCGGGGAGCAAAGGACGCCACGCGUGGCGUUCCGCGAGUACCCGAAGAAAAAGCAUCGGCUAACUCCGUGCCAGCAGCCGCGGUAAUAGGGAGGAUGCGAGCGUUAUCCGGAUUUAUUGGGUUAAAAGGGUGGGCAGGCGGUAUUUCAAGUCAGCGGUAAAAUUUGGGGGCUAAACCUCUUCGUGCCGUUGAAACUGGGUUGCUUGAGUGUGUUGGAAGUAGGCGGAAUGCGUGGUGUAGCGGUGAAAUGCAUAGAUAUCACGCAGAACUCCGAUUGCGAAGGCAGCAUAC
rnacentral:rRNA from 1 species